GCAAGUCGAGGGGUAACAUGAGUGCUUGCACUUGAUGACGACCGGCGCACGGGUGCGUAACGCGUAUGCAACCUACCUUAUACAGGAGGAUAGCUUUCGGAAACGAGAAUUAAUACUCCAUAGUUCCUUAAUUACGCAUGUAAUUUAGGAUAAAGUUCCGGCGGUAUAAGAUGGGCAUGCGUUCCAUUAGUUAGUUGGUGAGGUAACGGCUCACCAAGGCAUCGAUGGGUAGGGGUUCUGAGAGGAUGAUC
rnacentral:rRNA from 1 species